GAUGAACGCUGGCGGCGUGCCUAAUACAUGCAAGUCGAGCGAACAGACGAGGAGCUUUCUCCUCUUACGUUAGCGGCGGACGGGUGAGUAACACGUGGAUAACCUACCUAUAAGACUGGGAUAACUUCGGGAAACCGGAGCUAAUACCGGAUAAUAUAUUGAACCGCAUGGUUCAAUAGUGAAAGACGGUUUUGCUGUCACUUAUAGAUGUAUCCGCGCCGCAUUAGCUAGUUGGUAAGGUAACGGCUUACCAAGGCAACGAUGCGUAGCCGACCUGAGAGGGGGACGGGCCAAACUGGAACUGAGACCCGGUCAAGACUCCUCCGGGAGGAAGAAGUAGGGAAUCUUCCGAAAUGGGCGAAAGCCUGACGGAGCAACGCGGCGUGAGUGAUGAAGGUCUUCGGAUCGUAAAACCCUGUUAUUAGGGAAGAACAAAUGUGUAAGUAACUAUGCACGUAUUGACGGUACCUAAUCAGAAAGCCACGGCUAACUACGUG
rnacentral:rRNA from 1 species